rnacentral:rRNA from 1 species
UACGUAGGUGGCAAGCGUUAUCCGGAUUUAUUGGGCGUAAAGAGAACGCAGGCGGUCUCUUAAGUCUGAUGUGAAAGCCUUCGGCUUAACCGGAGUAGUGCAUUGGAAACUGGGAGACUUGAGUGCAGAAGAGGAGAGUGGAACUCCAUGUGUAGCGGUGAAAUGCGUAGAUAUAUGGAAGAACACCAGUGGCGAAAGCGGCUCUCUGGUCCGUAACUGACGCUGAGGUUCGAAAGCGUGGGUAGCAAACAGG